GAUGAACGCUGGCGGCGUGCUUAACACAUGCAAGUCGAACGGAAAGGCUCCUGCUUGCAGGGGUACUCGAGUGGCGAACGGGUGAGUAACACGUGGGUGAUCUGCCCUGCACUUCGGGAUAAGCCUGGGAAACUGGGUCUAAUACCGGAUAGGACGAUGGUUUGGAUGCCAUUGUGGAAAGUUUUUCGGUGUGGGAUGAGCUCGCGGCCUAUCAGCUUGUUGGUGGGGUAAUGGCCUACCAAGGCGUCGACGGGUAGCCGGCCUGAGAGGGUGUACGGCCACAUUGGGACUGAGAUACGGCCCAGACUCCUACGGGAGGCAGCAGUGGGGAAUAUUGCACAAUGGGCGCAAGCCUGAUGCAGCGACGCCGCGUGGGGGAAGACGGCCUUCGGGUUGUAAACUCCUUUCGCUAGGGACGAAGCGCAAGUGACGGUACCUGGAGAAGAAGCACCGGCUAACUACGUG
rnacentral:rRNA from 1 species